CACGUCUGCCUGGGUGUCACAA
rnacentral:siRNA from 1 species